AGCAACGAUGCCGCCGCUGUUGAUUCCUUGCCUCUCUACCAGAGAACUACCUGGCUGACUACAGUGGAGCUGCAGGCCAAUGACGUCACCAGGCGAUGUUCCCACACCUCAGCUGAGCAGAGGAUCCAAUAUGACAAACCAUGCAGCAGAUCCUCAAUGCACGUGGACAUUGCGACCUUCCUGAUCAAGUUCUAAUGAAGUGGCUGAUGAUAUCCGCGCCCUGUUGAUGGACACUAUGCCCCAAGACGCAGAGACCGGAGGGGACAACAGCCAUUCUUUAAUAUCUGCUCA